rnacentral:lncRNA from 1 species
AUUGGAUUAUUGAAAACGCUGAGACACUUGUCCCAUAAAAGCUCCUGGGACAGAGAACCAAUCAUGUAAUGGGAGGGAUUUUAAUGAUCAUGAUUGAGUUGGGUUCUUGUUGGUAUCUUUUGUUUGUUUGUAUGUUUUUUAAUCUUGAACAAGGCCACGACCAUAAUCACAUUACUCACAAUAAUUUCAUUUCUUGUUGUCGCAGUGUGGAUGGGAUGCUAAGAU